ensembl:lncRNA CUB and sushi domain-containing protein 3-like
CAAAGUCAGAAAGAUUGUUGUGCCAUCAGAUGAAUGAAUUACAUUUUAAAAUCUAUUAAAAUAAUAUUAAAAUAGUUACUUUUAAAUUGUAACUAUUUCACAAUAUUACUGUUUUUGAUCAAAUAAAUGCAGCCUUGGUGGUGAGCAAUCAAAAACACAAAAAAAUCUUAUCAACCCCAAACUUCAAUCAUUAGUGUGCAAAUAUACUAUAUAUAUUCCUCUGUGUGUGAAAAAUUAAAGCUUGUGUGUUCUGGGAAUAAUCCACUUUGUUCUGUGAUCCUGUGUGUGACUGUAAGAACAGUACUUGUAAGUCCUGUUUGGUUGAAUCUCUCAGGACAGGAGUCAGCAGGCAGGUUGUGCUGGGUUAGGCAGAAGUUUAUGCAUUACUGCAGCAGUCAGAGGUCAGUGUUUGAACGCUUUUCACAGAUCUGUGUCGUUACAGUAAUUACACGCACUGCAGGUUUCAGGCACACUAGGCACUCUGCUUAGGGAAGUGAAUCGGACCAGAUUAAUCUCUAACAUUGUUAAAUGUGAGAAACGUGAAAUUUACAAUCAGAGCAACUGCAAAUCAGACUUCCCAUGACUUCCCUUUCUCUGUAAUCUGUUUCUCUCUGCUCUGGUGAUAUUAGCUGUUGUGUUAGCCGAAUUUAAAAGAUUAGUUUGAGUUAAGGGCUUAGUUUAAGCUAAGAUGCAACACUUCCCCUUUCUUUCCAUCUGUCUCGCUCGGUCUCUGCAGGAAAACAGGUUCUUGAAAAUAGCCUUUAAAUAAUACAGUUCCUAAUGAAAUUGUUUUUCUACAUUAUUUACAUAAUUAUGACUUCUACAAUAUGAGACAACGGAACAAGGAAUUGCUGAUUAGAAAAUGAGUAAGACAUUAAAGAGGAGAACUGAAGGGAUAUAGACUACUUCUGUAUUGGAGAAGAAUUCCUACCAUUAAAACGACAUGAAACUAGGAGCUCUUCUGCUGCUGCUUCUGGGGUCCUUGCACGGGGUGUUCACUCAAGUGCCUAUAACUGCAUUUACUGAAAGAACAGCUGUGGAGGAAGGUCUAGGAAGUGGUCUGUUAGAGGUGGAACAGGAGGAUGAACUGGCAGACACUUACUGGUCUGGGACAGCCCCCCUUUGUUUCGGAGGGUGUAAAGGCAGACACAGGGAGCUGAAGAGAGACAACUGUGGAGAUUCAGACUGCUGCUGGGUGGGAUAUAAAUCCCUGUGUAGAGUGAAUUGUGGAAAGCCUGAUGUGGACUUUAAUGGGAUGGUGUAUGGGAGUGAUUGGUGGGUGGGUUCUGUAGUGCGGUACGACUGCAGACCAGGGUUCGUGUUGUUGGGAGAUCCUGCCCGAGCCUGUCAGUCCAAUGGGAAAUGGACACCCAAACCAUCCUGUCUUAGAGUGUGUUAUCGUGGCCGGGUUGAGAUCAAUGAGAAGGACAUCGACGGGACAUGUUCGUCCACCUGUCCUGAUGCUAAAAGCUAUGCAGUCCCUCUGAACCACAAAUGCAGUCGUAUUGAGAACUGCAGAACUAAAGAAUCAGGCUGGAAGCGCUGGUUUACACGCUGCAACUACUGCGACUGUGACUGCUUCACUCCCUGUGCUUUACAGGAUAGAAGAUAG